AACACCGUCAGCUUCCAUUGCAAGAACAAGCUCCAGGGCAGCGUGGUGUGAUCCGUUUUGAGCAUAAGCCGAGAUGAUCGCCGUCCAGGAAACCGUCGUGGGCCGAGGACACAGGUUUCUCUAUAAGCGAUCUGGCUCAAAACGCUGCGGACGAGCUCCCAGUUAACUCCGGCGGUCACAAGGCUCACACACGCAGCGAUGACACUCACGAACGUAACGCUGUCGGGUGACACACCCCUGUUCUUCAUCUCGCCAAACGCUUGAAUGGCUUCCAUGCCAUGCCCAAGCUGGGCAUACGCACC